UUUGAAUUAAAAUAAUAUUAAAAUUAGAAACAUGUGUUGGGCGAGUGAUUUUUUUUUUGAGGUAUAUGACCAUAAUAAUCGAGUUGAUUGUGGGAAGGUGGGAUUUUUACUAAAGCAAUAAGAGGGGAAUUUAACAAAAUUAAAUAAAAUAUUGAAUAUUUAAACUUUUUAUAGAGAAAUUAAAUCAAUUAAAUUCAGUCCGAACACACUAUAAUACCCAGUACUAUAGCCAAAAAAAAAGUCAUAAAAGUGUACGCCCAAGGCGCUUCGUUCUAGCAUUUAUAGAGCCCGAAAGCCAGGUGUUCAAAUAGCCAAACGACAAGUGCUUUCGACCAUCGUUUCUCUGCUAAAAUCGAUUGAAUAACCUGCGCUGGAACUAAAAAAUAAGCCUGAUUUAUAAAGCUUCAAUUAAUGCUAAAAUCACUUAUUAGUUCCACUUUCGAAAGAGCAUCAAAUGUGUGAUGAUAUCUGACAGUGGACAGUAGAUUAUGCCGAUGCGCUUAGUUCAUUGAUGCUUUUGUCAUUUCAUUAAACAAAAUUUGAAUAUUAAAUUAACACAAUAUUUAAUGUCAGUGGAAAGCGCACGCAUCGUAAAAUUCAUUAAAAUAUUUUUUACGCAGCUCUCUUGAUAUUUAUUGUACGGCUCGGAACGAAACACAGUUCGUCGGCAUCGACAUCGGCGGUGGCGGCAUUUUUGUGUGAAAUGUUUUUCGGACAAAUUGAAAUGUAUUAAUAUGAAAUGUUAUAAAUAA